UUUUCGUUGGUUUCCUUUACG
rnacentral:piRNA from 1 species